AUGGACUUAGGGCUUAUACUAGUUUCCUUUUGCCUUAUUUUAAAAGGUGUACAGUGUGAGGUGCAGUUGCUGGAGUCUGGGGGAGGCUUAGUGCAGCCUGGAAAGUCCCUGAAACUCUCCUGUGCAGCCUCUGGAUUCACCUUCAGUAACUACUGGAUGGACUGCUUUCGCCAGGCUCCAGGGAAGGGGCUGGAGUGGCUAGCACAUAUUAAUGCAAAUGGUGGUAGCACCUGGUAUACUGACGCUGUGAAGGGCAGGUUCACAAUCUCCAGAGACAAUGCCAAGAACAGUCUGUACCUGGAAAUGAGCAGUCUGAAGUCAGAGGACACAGCCAUGUAUUACUGUGCAAGAGACACAGUGAGUGAAUACUACUGUGAGCUCAGACAAAAACCUCCCUGUGGGAACACAGAAGCAGCAGGGGGCACUGAGAGCACUUAG